rnacentral:rRNA from 1 species
UUUUCCCAAGUUUGGAAGGCCAGUAUUCCCCCUAAGAUUAAAAUUUUCUUGUGGCAAGCCUUUCGAGGCCGGUUGCCCUCGGCUGAUCAGAUUCGUAAGAGAAACGGGCCGGGCUCCCAGUUUUGUGCUCUUUGCGGUGAUGUGGAAGACUCAGAUCAUAUCUUUUUUCACUGUCACCUGGCUAACCUUAUUUGGAGUUGUGUGCGGGACUGGCUUCAUGUGUCUUGGGCCCCUGCCUCCUUUGCUGAGUUGCGCAGCCUGGCGUCCAACCUCUCCGGUGUAUCUAGACGCAUCUUUUGGGUGGGCUUGGAGGCUUUAUGCUGGUCUCUGUGGACUACUAGGAACAAAUUUACUAUCGAGCACGUGUUUCCGGCUAAACCGGCUGACUGCUUAUUUAAAUCGUGUGCUUUCCUGCAGCAGUGGAAAUCAUUGACUAAGGCCGACGACCAAGAGGCGCUCUGUAUGCUGAUCGACAAAAUCUGGACCACGGCGUCUCAGUUAUGCAGACAAGAGCAGGAUGCUUGA